UACGUAGGGCGCGAGCGUUGUCCGGAAUUAUUGGGCGUAGAGCUCGUAGGCGGCCGGUUGCGUCUGCUGUGAAAUCCCGGGGCUUAACCCCGGGCGUGCAGUGGAUACGGGCCGGCUGGAGGCAGGCAGGGGAGAAUGGAAUUCCCGGUGUAGCGGUGAAAUGCGCAGAUAUCGGGAGGAACACCGGUGGCGAAGGCGGUUCUCUGGGCCUGUACUGACGCUGAGGAGCGAAAGCGUGGGGAGCAAACAGG
rnacentral:rRNA from 1 species